GAAACCCAAUAUCAUGCUAUAGGAAAAUGCAUAGUGAUAAUUAGCAAAUCCAGAUAAGCUUAAGAUGUAAUCUAUACAGGCAAUAUUAUGCAAACACUGGAUACUUGGUUAGCUGACAGCUAAUUUUAAAAGUGAUAAGACCAUUUUUUUACAGACAGCUGUAAGAGAUGGGUCUUAUCACUUUAAAAAUUAAAUCAGAUAACAAAUUCAGAUUUGUUUUUCUAAAGCUCAACCUAUGGUAUGCUCAACUUUAGGAAGAGACAUCAGGUGAAAAUGAUUUUUCUAAGACCUGGAAACUGGACUGAUGCUUUCAGGAAUGAGCCAAAUGUGGAUAAAUGUGUCAAACUCUCCCUGGGUCCUAGGCAUUAGCCCAGGAACUCUCUCCACGGGCAUGCAUCUGAUAGAGAUGGAAUAACUCAGUGUGCACCUAUAGGUCUUGUCUGCCUCUGAAAAUGAGGGCCUUGGAAGGCAGUGCAAGAUCUUCCAAGGUCAUAUUGAGUGCUGGUGUCGGUGUCUCGGGAGACAGCCAAUGUGUAUUAGUCAUGAACAUGGGCUUAGGAGGAACCCACGCCCCCUUGUUUACUAGCUCUGUGACUCUGGGAGAGUUACCUAACGUUUCUGGACCUGUUUUCCUCAACUGAGAAAUGGGGAUCAUAAUAGCAUAGAGUUUUUGUGAGGAUGGUAUGAGUUCAUGUAUGCAGUGUACAGAGCAGUGCUUGCCAGGUCAGAAGCACUUGAUAAAACAAGCUAUCAUUAUUUUUAUUAUUUCCUUAAGGAUGAAAGGCUAAAAAUGGUCAGUUCCUAAUGGAAAACCUUGCAUCAUCUGCUGCUAUUUCUGGAAACAUGAAGGUUGCUGCGUGGUCUCCUGGUCACAGUGACUUUAGAAUCUAGAGCAGGGAAGUUUAAGGAUGAUGUAGUUCACGAGGCAGAGACGGGGCACCAUUCUUUUUGUGCUAUCCUAUUCUCUGUAUGCUUUGAUGGCCUUUAUUUUUAUUUGAUUUAAAUUCCUCACAACAUCUUUCUCAUUGAUAUGGAAUUGAGUUUUGACAUGGUUAUUGUUAGGCCUGCCGUCCCCCGAGGUGGCUGUGUAUUAACUACCGUGGCGCAUCCUUUCACAGCCCCUCUGCGGCUUUCCUUCCAGCCUAGUGCACUGGGCUCAUUUCGUCAUCCUUCAUUUCUCUCUAGCAUGCAAAGAGAUUGAUAUUCUUCCUUGCUGCUCACAAAUGAUAUUCCGCUCUGACAGCCAGCCUCACCACUUCCUCCAAACCCUUCAUGUAAAAACUCGUCCUAUCCAAGAAACCUUUACAGAAUGAAAAUGGUACCUUUCAAGGAAACCAGUGAUGAACUGGAAAAUACUGUCUGAUCAGGCCUCCCACUGACUAUCUUCACCGUCAUACCUCUCCACUACUCAGUGGCACCUCUUCCUAGGCUAUACAUUGCCCCCUUCUCUUUAUCUUUUUCCACUUCCCUUACUAACUUUUCAAUGACUCUCUAAUUGUUGCUCUAUCUCAAAUUGUGUAGAUUCUGAUUUUCAACUGAAUUAUAUUUACUCGCAUUUUCAAUACAGUGAAGUAAACGUUGAUUUUAUUGGCUCAUUCAUGUAAGUAAAUGAAAGACAGCCAAAUGACCAUAUUGUUUUAAUCAACAUUUUUCUUCAUGUUUAUAGUUUCUCUAUGGAUCUCCUUCUUAUUUCUUUCAAUCAACUAUAUGCUGAGUGCCUGUUCUUCUAGGUGCUGUUGCUUUUACAUUUAUCUUGAUUAGCUCAACCAAAAAGGAAAAGCAAGGAUCAAUAAGUAUUGACACAUUUGGGCGAGGGAGAUGGCAAAUUAUAUAGCUGAUUUUUCUGUUCCUUAUAAAAUAGAGUGUAACGUUGUUCUAAAAUUGUAUGGAUUAUAUUUUAUGGGUUUACAUGGAAACAUAAAUCCUAAAUCAUGUAAAUUUCCAUAAGAAUGAACUCUGUCUUAGGACAUGCUUUCUCUCCCUAACAGACUGUGGCUCCCGAGUUCCAUCAGUGCAUUCUCCACAGGCAGCAGUUUCUUCAGGACCAUCAUAUCCAAGAGCACUUAGCAGUGGAAAUGUCACCUUUAUUAUCAUUCUCCUCCAUCUGAAGAAAACAGUUAUAAAGCCUGCCGACCAAUGCUGUCUUGGAAACUAAAUGACAGAGAAAUUAUAAAGGCCAAAAGAAAAUGACACAAGAAAUGUAGGUGAAUAUCAUGAUGAAGUUGGUUUGAUAAUUCUAGAAAGUCAGUGAAUGGCCAGAAAUCCUCAACUCAGAACUGAAGCAAGUAAUUUAUAGGAAUUUGAGGAGACUUCUUACAAAGCAGAGUGUUCCUGCUGUAAGAAAGCCCAAGCCAACUGCUCAUGAAGAGACCAAUUGGAGGACAAAUGGAGACCUUUGACAAGACCUUCAAUUGGUAUCCCAUCAGACAGCCAGAACCUACUUGCCAGCCAUGUGAGAGAGCCUUCUUGGAAGGGCAUCCUCCAGCCCCAGCCAAGCCAUCACAGCUAACACUGCCUGGAGUGGAUAAAAGCCAAACUGUAGAUUAAUAAUUUAAGCCACUGGGUUUGGAGAUGAUUUGUCAUGCAACAAUAGAUAAAUGGAGCUAGCACCUACUUUAAGAACCUGUACAUGGUGCUUGGCUAGCAAGGCAGUUUGCAUGGAUGAGCCCAUAGAAACAUUAGCACUGGUGCACAUCUCCCUCUAUCUUGGUGGCUCACAUAUGAAUAAAAGCAGUCAUGAAGGAAGAUGGGAUUGAGAGGUGGAUGUCAGAAAAUAACUCUGCCAGAUGCUGCCUUUCAUAUUCUCCAUUGUGAUCAU